AGGACGAACGCUGGCGGCGUGCUUAACACAUGCAAGUGGAGCGACGAACCAGGCUUCGGCCUGGGGCAGAGCCGCGAACGGGUGAGUAACACGUGGGUAACCUGCCCUGAUGAUUGGGACAACCCGAGGAAACUCGGGCUAAUACCAAAUGUGCCCUCUGGCCUCAAGGCCUCUGGGGAAAGGAGCUUCGGCCUCCGCAUUGGGAUGGGCCCGCGGCCCAUUAGCUUGUUGGUGAGGUAACGGCUCACCAAGGCUACGAUGGGUAGCUGGUCUGAGAGGACGAUCAGCCACACUGGGACUGAGACACGGCCCAGACUCCUACGGGAGGCAGCAGUGGGGAAUCUUGCGCAAUGCGCGAAAGCGUGACGCAGCAACGCCGCGUGGGGGAAGACGGCCUUCGGGUUGUAAACCUCUUUCAGUAGGACGAAUGUAGACGGUACCUGCAGAGAAGCACCGGCCAACUACGCGCCAGCAGCCGCGGU
rnacentral:rRNA from 1 species